UGGGGUGUAGCCAAGCGGCAAGGCAGCGGGUUUUGGUCUCGCGAUCGUUGGUUCGAAUCCAGCCACCCCAGCCA
rnacentral:tRNA from 2 species